UUUCCGUAGGUGAACCUGCGGAAGGAUCAUUACCGAGUGAGGGCCCUCUGGGUCCAACCUCCCACCCGUGGUUAUCGUACCUUGUUGCUUCGGCGGGCCCGCCGUAAGGCCGCCGGGGGGUAUCUGCCCUCUGGCCCGCGCCCGCCGAAGACACCAUUGAACGCUGUCUGAAGAUUGCAGUCUGAGCAAUUAGUUAAAUAACUUAAAACUUUCAACAACGGAUCUCUUGGUUCCG
rnacentral:misc_RNA from 1 species